AAACUAGCAUAGAGAGACUUCCUCUUUCCUGCUGCCAGAUUUUAGAUUCCCUGCUGAAACUCAUCAGCUCCUUCCACCCCAUCUCCAUCUCCAUCCCCUACUUCUGUAUCACUAUGAUAACUUAUUUUUACAUUACGAGUCUAGGCAUGCUCAGUGCCAUUAGCACCAAGCACUGCAGUCCGUACUGUGGUGCAUCUGGUAUACUGUUACCACCACCUGAGACAGAAGUCAGCUGUCAUAUGUGGCAUCUUGGUCCUGUCCCUGCUGCUGAGCAUCCUUGAAAGGAACUACUGUAGCUUCUUUUGGGGUACUCUAAUUUUGCUUGGUUUCUGGCACUUUAUUUCAUUACCAUGUGUUCUCUCUGGGUCCAGCCUGUCCCUACUGGUCAGACUCCUGUGUGGCUGCAGGUGCUGCAGCUGACCAGGCUCUUAUGUGACAACCUGCUUCUGGUCCUAGUCUUCCACUUCUGCAGCCUACCUGCUGGUGUUCAAUUGUUUCUUGGGUUGUGGGUUCAAAUUGACUACAAUUCAUUCUUUUGUCUUGAUUGCAUUGUGUUUAUCUUGACUUGCUAGCAGCUGCACCAACCCUAUUAUUUGCUUUCUUUGUUGGCUCCUUUAGGUAGUAUCAAUAUGGGAAGAUCCUCAAGCUGGUUCUCCAGAGGGCUCUGCAGGACACUGCUGAAGUAUAUGAAGGUGGAGGCAGACUUGUUCAGGAAACCCUGAAGCUGUCGGGAAGCAGACUG
rnacentral:lncRNA from 1 species